AGGUAGUGGGGUGAGGGCUGCCGCUAGGCCAGGUGGACAUGCCUGCCUACUCAAUGAGCACCAAUGGCCAACCUCCAGCCUGAAGAAGUGUUUGUCAGGCUAAGCACAUAGUCACUCUGGCUGAUUUCUUCAUUCAUGAAGACUAGCAAGCCUGGCCGUUUUAUACACAAACAAGAAAAAUGAUUUCUGAAGACUACAGUCACAGGAAGACCCCUCCAUGGAGAGUACCUUGCAUUCAGAAACUUGUCUGUCUUAUCCCAAGCAUGCUAUUGAUUCAAUAAAAGGUACCCCCCCACCUCCAGAGAAUGGCUCCUGCAAAGACGGACACUGGUUUCUGAAACCAAAUUGUCCCCAUGUAACUGCUUGCUCCUGUGGGGCUACUGGUGGGCAUUGGUCUUUGGAUUCAGGGCCUAAUAUGAACUUUCAAGCCCUUAUUCAGAUGCAUAACUCUUGAAAUCAAGGUGACUGCUAUGGAGGUGAAUACCACACACAUUAAUAAGGGUUUAAAGAUCGAGCUAGAAAGGGAUUCACAGAAGUUGAGGGCUGGAAGAGACCUUGUGAGAUCAAGUCGAGAGCCCCCCCUUGCUCUGAGCAGGAAAGACUGCUGGGGUCAAAUAAUCCCAGUGAAAACAACACAGGAGUGAAGAAGGCCAGAAAGGGAAAGGAAAACCAAGAUAGCCAAGAUGAGAGAGUGCAUUUACUUUUCAAGAAUAGGUACAGAUACAAGGGGCAAGGUGAUUAAUGACAGCAAGUGAGACGGAAGUACUCCCACAAAUAGCUUGCUAAGGAUCUUGCCUGAAGAACAAAGGAAAGAGUUCAGCAGCAAUUGUUAACAAAGGAACUGCUAUCUCAGAGGUGUUUCUGGGCAUUUUUGGAAAAGAAUGGGUUGCCAAAACCAGAGCCUGAAUGCUAAUUUGAGAGAAAAGAGUUAACAUAAUAAAAGCUGGUAAUGCCUGCAACAUGUACAGUCUGGCAUAUGUUCACAACUUGUGCAUCUGCACUAUCAGAAGACACUGCUGUGGAGAGCUUGAUCUCCCAUUUCAAGCACUCUCCUGCUGUCUCCAAGCUGCACAGCACACAAAGCCCUGUUACUGAUCUGACUCUAGGUGUCGUGAUCAGCAGGAGGAUCACCAUUUACUGCACAACUGACUCAGACCAUAUGACUGGACAGAAAAAGGACACUCACACUCUUUUGUUCAGAAGAAUUAAAU